CUGACAUAUAAAACUAAAGAGAAUUAAGAGCGAAUCAGACGAAGUAACUGCACUUCAUUUUUUAAAAGGUCACGUGGGACGUACUCAGAUUUUGGGUUUUCAUCAUAACACAGCAGCACAGCUCUGCUUUGCCAUGCGUUCGUCCUCCACGCGUCUUUUGAGGACGCCUCUUAGAUGGCGCUUGGGCGUAGAAUUCGACUGUCUGCUACGUUCUCAAGAGUUAUGCUAAAAGCUCCCGAGAGCACGUGCAGAAUCGUGGGGGCUGCCUGUGGAGGGUUUAAGAAAAGGCACGGAAACUGCAAUUCGCCCUCCACUCUCCACGCCAGGAAAACUGGCUUGAUUCCACUGGCUUUCUCUAAACAGAAGAGGGGUCUGGGGGAAGAACUCGGAUCCUGAGCACUUCCACGCUCAGCCAUUGAUAGUGGAAAAUGUAUGUUAUCAUGGCGAUAGAAGUCUGAUUAACACAGCAUAGCAAAAUAAUGUGUGCCCCAGAAUGUUAAAAAUGGGCAUUUUGGAAAUUUAUAUACACAGAAGACAACCGAAGAAUACACACUUCAACUUGUCAGUAGAGUCCAGCUCGGGAGAGGAAAUCGCUUUCACAUGAAAGGGCCUUGGCUGACCGUCCGGUGGCUUCGCAAAGCUCGAAAACGCAUCCAGAUUCUUUGGGUUGAGUAUCCACCUCACCGCGGACUAAGUUCUGAAGCUGAAAACAAGUAUGCUUCCUUUCCGACUACGCAGUCUGGUAUAGAGCAAAUAUAGACGCUCCAUAAAGGACGGUGGUAAAAGUUAAAACGCUGAGAAAAGCCCCAGGAGUUUCUGCCAUGCAGAGGCCGUGGCAUGUGCCAAGCACUGUGACAUCCCCCCAUGACUUCAAAACAACUGUCCACGGACAUCUCAGACACUCACCAGCACCGUCAUGUUGUGGCAGGAAAAAUCCACCUCCUGAAGACGUAAUGAACUGGUGGU